rnacentral:misc_RNA from 1 species
AAGUCGUAACAAGGUCUUCGUAGGUGAACCUGCGGAGGGAUCAUUAGUGAAUUUUGGGAGUCCCUCCUAGCCGGAGAAGGCCCAUCACACUAUUUCACACACUUGUGCAUUUGUCCCUUUUUAUACACCCUGUGCAAUUGAAACAGUCUUGUUGAUCUUUUCAUAAACGAAAGAAAAA